CCUACGGGAGGCAGCAGUCGGGAAUAUUGCGCAAUGGAGGCAACUCUGACGCAGUGACGCCGCGUGCAUGAAGAAGGUUUUCGGAUUGUAAACUGCUUUAGACAGGGAAGAAACAAGACAGUACCUGUAAAAUAAGCACCGGCUAACUACGUGCCAGCAGCAGCGGUAAUACGUAGGGUGCAAGCGUUAACCGGAUUGAUUGGGCGUAAAGGGGACGUAGACGGGAAGUCAAGUUGGUUGUGAAAUCCCUGGGCUGAACUGAGGAACUGCAACCAAAACUAACUAUCUUGAGUGCUGGAGAGGAAAGUAGAAUUCCUAGUGUAGCGGUGAAAUGCGUAGAGAUUAGGAGGAACACCAGUGGCGAAGGCGACUUUCUGGACAGUAACUGACGUUGAGGUACGAAAGUGUGGGGAGCAAACAGGAUUAGAUACCCUAGUAGUC
rnacentral:rRNA from 1 species